AGAGUUUGAUCCUGGCUCAGAUUGAACGCUGGCGGCAUGCUUUACACAUGCAAGUCGAACGGCAGCAUAGGUGCUUGCACCUGAUGGCGAGUGGCGGACGGGUGAGUAAUGCACCGGGACGUGUCCGGAAGAGGGGGAUAACUGUUCGAAAGAACAGCUAAUACCGCAUAAUAUCCGAGGAAGAAAGCUGGGGACCUUAGGGCCUGGCGCUUACGGGGCGACCGAUGUCUGAUUAGCUAGUUGGUGGGGUAAAAGCCUACCAAGGCGACGAUCAGUAGCUGGUCUGAGAGGACGACCAGCCACACUGGGACUGAGAAACGGCCCAGACUCCUACGGGAGGCAGCAGUGGGGAAUUUUGGACAAUGGGGGCAACCCUGAUCCAGCAAUGCCGCGUGUCUGAAGAAGGCCUUCGGGUUGUAAAGGACUUUUGUUGGGGAGCAAGGUGCACAGGUUAAGAGCUAGUGUACUUGAGAGUACCCAAAGAAUAAGGACCGGCUAACUACGUGCCAGCAGCCGCGGUAAUACGUAGGGUCCAAGCGUUAAUCGGAAUUACUGGGCGUAAAGAGUGCGCAGGCGGCUUUGUAAGCUUGAUGUGAAAUCCCCGGGCUCAACCUGGGAACUGCAUUGAGGACUGCAAGGCUAGAGUGUAGCAGAGGGGGGUAGAAUUCCACGUGUAGCGGUGAAAUGCGUAGA
rnacentral:rRNA from 1 species